rnacentral:rRNA from 1 species
GACGAACGCUGGCGGCGUGCUUAACACAUGCAAGUCGAACGGAAAGGCCCUGCUUUUGUGGGGUGCUCGAGUGGCGAACGGGUGAGUAACACGUGAGUAACCUGCCCUUGACUUUGGGAUAACUUCAGGAAACUGGGGCUAAUACCGGAUAGGAGCUCCUGCUGCAUGGUGGGGGUUGGAAAGUUUCGGCGGUUGGGGAUGGACUCGCGGCUUAUCAGCUUGUUGGUGGGGUAGUGGCUUACCAAGGCUUUGACGGGUAGCCGGCCUGAGAGGGUGACCGGCCACAUUGGGACUGAGAUACGGCCCAGACUCCUACGGGAGGCAGCAGUGGGGAAUAUUGCACAAUGGGCGGAAGCCUGAUGCAACAGCGCCGCGUGCGGGAUGUCGGCCUACGAGUUGUAAACCGCUUUCGCCUGUGACGAAGCGUGAGUGACGGUAAUGGGUAAAGAAGCACCGGCUAACUACGUG